AUGUUUACGUGGCAGUGGAGAUACCAUGAUCAGGAAGGUGGAUUUCCCAUGGCAAGGCUUAUCCACUGUACUAUAGUUUGCUUACCUCUGUGAAUCCCCAAAUUCUGGAAAACCAACUGGAUAACUUUUGGUAGCAGGGAACUGUAUUCACAUUCUCUCC
ensembl:snRNA Gm23796 predicted gene, 23796